UGCCAGCCGCCGCGGUAAUACGAAGGGGGUUAGCGUUGUUCGGAAUUACUGGGCGUAAAGCGCGCGUAGGCGGAUUGGAAAGUUGGGGGUGAAAUCCCGGGGCUCAACCUGGGAACUGCAUUUGAAACUGGUCAACUAGAGUAUGGUAGAGGAAAGUGGAAUUUCUGGUGUAGCGGUGAAAUGCGUAGAUAUCAGAAGGAACAUCAAUGGCGAAGGCAGCUUUCUGGACCAAUACUGACGCUGAGGUACGAAAGCGUGGGUAGCAAACAGGAUUAGAUA
rnacentral:rRNA from 1 species